GCUAUUACAAAGCCCUACUACCAACCCAAAUCAACUAUCAAUUUUUAUUAACCAAAACAUUAAUCUAACCUUAGUAUAGGUGAURGAACAGUUAAUCCAGGCGCAAUAACGUUA
rnacentral:rRNA from 1 species